CUGCUGCCUCCCGUAGGAGUCUGGUCCGUGUCUCAGUACCAGUGUGGGGGACCUUCCUCUCAGAACCCCUACGCAUCGUCGGUUAGGUGGGCCGUUACCCCGCCUACUGCCUAAUGCGCCGCAUGCCCAUCCCUGUCCGGCCGAAGCCUUUCCUGCCUCCGGGAUGCCCGGUGGCAUGUACGCGGGUUUAGCCCGCCUUUCGGCGGGUUGUCCCCCUGACAGGGGCCAGGUUGCAUACGUGUUACUCACCCGUGCGCCGGUCGCCGGCGGAGAAA
rnacentral:rRNA from 1 species